AUUGAACGCUGGCGGCAUGCCUUACACAUGCAAGUCGAACGGCAGCACGGGAGCAAUCCUGGUGGCGAGUGGCGAACGGGUGAGUAAUAUAUCGGAACGUGCCCAGUCGUGGGGAUAACGUAGCGAAAGCUACGCUAAUACCGCAUACGAUCUACGGAUGAAAGCGGGGGAUCGCAAGACCUCGCGCGAUUGGAGCGGCCGAUAUCAGAUUAGGUAGUUGGUGAGGUAAAGGCUCACCAAGCCGACGAUCUGUAGCUGGUCUGAGAGGACGACCGGCCACACUGGGACUGAGACACGGCCCAGACUCCUACGGGAGGCAGCAGUGGGGAAUUUUGGGACAAUGGGCGCAAGCCUGAUCCAGCAAUGCCGCGUGCAGGAUGAAGGCCUUCGGGUUGUAACUAGCUUUGUACGGUAACGAAACGGUAGAGCUCUAAUACAGUUUGCUAAUGACGGUACCGU
rnacentral:rRNA from 1 species